UACAGGGGGUGCAAACGUUGCUCGGAAUUAUUGGGCGUAAAGCGCGCGUAGGCGGCCGCUUAAGUCGGAUGUGAAAGCCCCUGGCUCAACUGGGGAAGUGCACCCGAAACUGAGUGGCUUGAGUACUAAAGAGGGUCGCGGAAUUCCCGGUGUAGAGGUGAAAUUCGUAGAUAUCGGGAGGAACACCGGUGGCGAAGGCGGCGACCUGGGUAGACUACGUGACGCUGAGGCGCGAAAGCGUGGGGAG
rnacentral:rRNA from 1 species